AUGGACUUCUUCCUCCUCAAGACCAAGACCAACCAUGGACACGAAGCGGAGGAAGAAGAGCUUGACCUCAACAUGGUGGUCGCCACGGACCACACGGGCCGCGCCCUCAUCUACGACCCGGACUCGCUGGCCGUCCGCGCGCUGCCCAGGCUGCCCGAGCGCAAGUACAUCCCCGUCUCCCUCACCGCCGGCGGCGCCCUCUACGUGUUCGACCGGAUCCCCAUGCUCCACAAGAAGCGGUGCUGCGAGGCGCUCACCUUCCGCCGUCCCCGCGGUGAGUGCGGGGACUGGUCAUGGCGCGCUGUGCACCGCCGACCUCAACGCCGCCGAGUUGCCAACUUGCCUGACUACUGGGUAUUUUAA
rnacentral:rRNA from 1 species